rnacentral:rRNA from 1 species
GGUUAAGUUAGAAAGGGCGCACGGUGGAUGCCUUGGCACUAGGAGCCGAUGAAGGACGGGACGAACACCGAUAUGCUUCGGGGAGCUGUAAGCAAGCUUUGAUCCGGAGAUUUCCGAAUGGGGAAACCCACCACUCGUAAUGGAGUGGUAUCCAUAUCUGAAUACAUAGGAUAUGAGAAGGCAGACCCGGGGAACUGAAACAUCUAAGUACCCGGAGGAAGAGAAAGCAAAUGCGAUUCCCUGAGUAGCGGCGAGCGAAACGGGACCAGCCCAAACCAAGAGGCUUGCCUCUUGGGGUUGUAGGACACUCUGUACGGAGUUACAAAGGAACGAGGUAGAUGAAGAGGUCUGGAAAGGCCCGCCAUAGAAGGUAACAGCCCUGUAGUCAAAACUUCGUUCUCUCCUGAGUGGAUCCUGAGUACGGCGGAACACGUGAAAUUCCGUCGGAAUCCGGGAGGACCAUCUCCCAAGGCUAAAUACUCCCUAGUGACCGAUAGUGAACCAGUACCGUGAGGGAAAGGUGAAAAGCACCCCGGAAGGGGAGUGAAAGAGAUCCUGAAACCGUGUGCCUACAAGUAGUCAGAGCCCGUUAACGGGUGAUGGCGUGCCUUUUGUAGAAUGAACCGGCGAGUUACGAUCCCGUGCAAGGUUAAGCAGAAGAUGCGGAGCCGCAGCGAAAGCGAGUCUGAAUAGGGCGAAUUGAGUACGUGGUCGUAGACCCGAAACCAGGUGAUCUACCCAUGUCCAGGGUGAAGUUCAGGUAACACUGAAUGGAGGCCCGAACCCACGCACGUUGAAAAGUGCGGGGAUGAGGUGUGGGUAGGGGUGAAAUGCCAAUCGAACCUGGAGAUAGCUGGUUCUCUCCGAAAUAGCUUUAGGGCUAGCCUCAAGGUAAGAGUCUCGGAGGUAGAGCACUGAUUGGACUAGGGGCCCCUACCGGGUUACCGAAUUCAGUCAAACUCCGAAUGCCGAUGACUUAUCCUUGGGAGUCAGACUGCGAGUGAUAAGAUCCGUAGUCGAAAGGGAAACAGCCCAGACCGCCAGCUAAGGUCCCAAAGUAUACGUUAAGUGGAAAAGGAUGUGGAGUUGCUUAGACAACCAGGAUGUUGGCUUAGAAGCAGCCACCAUUUAAAGAGUGCGUAAUAGCUCACUGGUCGAGUGACUCUGCGCCGAAAAUGUACCGGGGCUAAACGUAUCACCGAAGCUGCGGACUGUUCUUCGAACAGUGGUAGGAGAGCGUUCUAAGGGCUGUGAAGCAAGACCGGAAGGACUUGUGGAGCGCUUAGAAGUGAGAAUGCCGGUAUGAGUAGCGAAAGAGGGGUGAGAAUCCCCUCCACCGAAUGCCUAAGGUUUCCUGAGGAAGGCUCGUCCGCUCAGGGUUAGUCGGGACCUAAGCCGAGGCCGAAAGGCGUAGGCGAUGGAUAACAGGUUGAUAUUCCUGUACCACCUCCUCACCAUUUGAGCAAUGGGGGGACGCAGGAGGAUAGGGUAAGCGCGGUAUUGGAUAUCCGCGUCCAAGCAGUUAGGCUGGGAAAUAGGCAAAUCCGUUUCCCGUGAAGGCUGAGCUGUGAUGGCGAGCGAAUUAUAGUAGCGAAGUUCCUGAUUCCACACUGCCAAGAAAAGCCUCUAGCGAGGUGAGAGGUGCCCGUACCGCAAACCGACACAGGUAGGCGAGGAGAGAAUCCUAAGGUGAUCGAGAGAACUCUCGUUAAGGAACUCGGCAAAAUGACCCCGUAACUUCGGGAGAAGGGGUGCUCUGUUAGGGUGCAAGCCCGAGAGAGCCGCAGUGAAUAGGCCCAGGCGACUGUUUAGCAAAAACACAGGUCUCUGCGAAGCCGUAAGGCGAAGUAUAGGGGCUGACGCCUGCCCGGUGCUGGAAGGUUAAGAGGAGCGCUUAGCGUAAGCGAAGGUGCGAAUUGAAGCCCCAGUAAACGGCGGCCGUAACUAUAACGGUCCUAAGGUAGCGAAAUUCCUUGUCGGGUAAGUUCCGACCCGCACGAAAGGCGCAACGAUCUGGGCACUGUCUCAACGAGAGACUCGGUGAAAUUAUAGUACCUGUGAAGAUGCAGGUUACCCGCGACAGGACGGAAAGACCCCGUGGAGCUUUACUGCAGCCUGAUAUUGAAUGUUGGUACAGCUUGUACAGGAUAGGUAGGAGCCUUGGAAACCGGAGCGCCAGCUUCGGUGGAGGCAUCGGUGGGAUACUACCCUGGCUGUAUUGACCUUCUAACCCGCCGCCCUUAUCGGGCGGGGAGACAGUGUCAGGUGGGCAGUUUGACUGGGGCGGUCGCCUCCUAAAAGGUAACGGAGGCGCCCAAAGGUUCCCUCAGAAUGGUUGGAAAUCAUUCGCAGAGUGUAAAGGCACAAGGGAGCUUGACUGCGAGACCUACAAGUCGAGCAGGGACGAAAGUCGGGCUUAGUGAUCCGGUGGUUCCGCAUGGAAGGGCCAUCGCUCAACGGAUAAAAGCUACCCCGGGGAUAACAGGCUUAUCUCCCCAAGAGUCCACAUCGACGGGGAGGUUUGGCACCUCGAUGUCGGCUCAUCGCAUCCUGGGGCUGUAGUCGGUCCCAAGGGUUGGGCUGUUCGCCCAUUAAAGCGGUACGCGAGCUGGGUUCAGAACGUCGUGAGACAGUUCGGUCCCUAUCCGUCGCGGGCGCAGGAAAUUUGAGAGGAGCUGUCCUUAGUACGAGAGGACCGGGAUGGACGCACCGCUGGUGUACCAGUUGUUCUGCCAAGGGCAUCGCUGGGUAGCUAUGUGCGGACGGGAUAAGUGCUGAAAGCAUCUAAGCAUGAAGCCCCCUCAAGAUGAGAUUUCCCAUUCCGCAAGGAAGUAAGAUCCCUGAAAGAUGAUCAGGUUGAUAGGUCUGAGGUGGAAGUGUGGCGACACAUGGAGCUGACAGAUACUAAUCGAUCGAGGACUUAACCAA